rnacentral:misc_RNA from 1 species
AAAACCUUCAAGCAUGGAUUCCUUUCAUGACUUGGUUUUGGAGUUGGAGUGGACAUGUGUCAUUCCUAUCCGAAAAUCAAUGGCAAUGUCGUCUGUACCAAUAAGCGUAGUAAUCAACAUUAUGUUUCGCUUUUUGUACAGCUAUUCAUUUGCCGUUAACCCCCCUCACUAUUUUCAAGU